UUGUAUAUGGUAUAAUAAGCAAGUAGAAAGUUUAUGGCGGUUGGCUAAACCCAAAAGAAAUGGGGUGAUGCCUAUGUUGAUUUUUGGCUUUACUCCUGGAAAGGAAUAAAUGUGUCUGUAUUUGAAGCAUUAAUGUUUGCGAUGACUUUCGCAACAUUGAUUCUAAAAAUCAGUGAUAAAAA
rnacentral:sRNA from 1 species